rnacentral:rRNA from 1 species
UCGGGAAUUUUGGGCAAUGGGCGAAAGCCUGACCCAGCAACGCCGCGUGGAUGAUGAAGGCCCUAGGGUUGUAAAAUCCUUUCGUUGGGGACGAUAAUGACGGUACCCAAAGAAGAAGCUCCGGCUAACUUCGUGCCAGCAGCCGCGGUAAUACGAAGGGGGCUAGCGUUGUUCGGAUUUACUGGGCGUAAAGCGCGUGUAGGCGGGUCGUUAAGUUGGGGGUGAAAUCCCGAGGCUCAACCUCGGAACUGCCUUCAAAACUGGCGACCUGGACUCAAGUAGAGGCAAGUGGAAUUGCGAGUGUAGAGGUGAAAUUCGUAGAUAUUCGCAGGAACACCAGUGGCGAAGGCGACUUGCUGGACUUGUAGUGACGCUGAGACGCGAAAGCGUGGGGAGCAAACAGGAUUAGAUACCCCCGUAGUCCCUGAGCGGGCUGGCAAGGCGCAU